rnacentral:rRNA from 1 species
AAUCAACGCUGGCGGCGUGCCUCAGACAUGCAAGUCGAACGAGAGGUUCCCUUCGGGGAACUGAAAGUGGCGCACGGGUGAGUAACACGUGGGUAAUUUACCUUCGGGUGGGGAACAACAGCCGGAAACGGCUGCUAUACCGCAUAAUGCAGCGGCUCCAGAUGGAGACAGUUGUUAAAGCGGGGAUCGCAAGACCUCGCGCCUGAAGAGAAG